rnacentral:rRNA from 1 species
GUGCCAGCAGCCGCGGUAAGACAGAGGGUGCAAACGUUGCUCGGAAUUACUGGGCGUAAAGCGCAUGUAGGCGGCUCCGUAAGUCGGAUGUGAAAGCCCUCGGCUUAACCGAGGAAGUGCAUUCGAUACUGCAGAGCUAGAGUACCGGAGAGGGUCGUGGAAUUCCUGGUGUAGAGGUGAAAUUCGUAGAUAUCAGGAGGAACACCGGCGGCGAAGGCGGCGACCUGGACGGAUACUGACGCUCAGAUGCGAAAGCGUGGGUAGCAAACAGGAUUAGAAACCCCCGUAGUCC